rnacentral:lncRNA from 1 species
UUCCCCAGUGUCUAGAAGAGUGUCUGGAAUAUAUAGGCUCUUAAUAUAUGUUUAUUGACUGAAUGAAUGAAGAUAUGACCUCAGGGAAUUUACAGGUUUUCUGUGGGUAUGUUUUGUAACCAAAGUAACUGCAUUUCCUGCCUUUGGACUCCAGUUUCCUAGUUACUAAUCCCUAACACUUGUUGCCAGGCAUCUACAGUUCUGACCUUCCUGCAAGAAUCUCUUGUCAGUUACCAGUCCAGUCCUGCAUCUUGGGUCUUACCAGGCUCAGGUUUUCGUUACUCAUAUUUCUCUAUUUCUCUUACCUCAUAAAUGAAUCUUUCCAUUUCAGACCUAUCUUUGAGUCAAUAUCUCUUAAUGUCUUGAUCUGGGUUUUUUUUCCUUCCUUCUCCGAGGUGAUUGAACCCAGGUUCAGGAUCUCUUGCAUGGUAUUCAGUGACUUCCUGUGGCCACGGCUCCUCACUGCAGUCACCACCCAGCCUACUUCACACCCAUCAGAUCCUGCCAUGAAAAUCCCGAUCUCUCCAGACUCUCACUCCUUGAGGACUCUUCCAGGAGACAAAUGCUGA